rnacentral:rRNA from 1 species
UACGUAGGGUGCGAGCGUUAAUCGGAAUUACUGGGCGUAAAGCGUGCGCAGGCGGUUGUGUAAGUCAGAGGUGAAAUCCCCGGGCUCAACCUGGGAAUGGCCUUUGAGACUGCACGGCUAGAGUGUGACAGAGGGGGGUAGAAUUCCACGUGUAGCAGUGAAAUGCGUAGAGAUGUGGAGGAAUACCGAUGGCGAAGGCAGCCCCCUGGGUUACUACUGACGCUCAUGCACGAAAGCGUGGGGAGCAAACAGG